GUUGAUCCUGCGGGAGAUUGCUGCUAUUAGGAUUCGACUAAGCCAUGCAAGUCAGAGGGACUUUUCGGAGUCACAGGCAUAACGCUCAGUAACACGUUGGUAACCUAACCUUAAGUCUUGGACAACCUUGGAAAACUGAGGCUAAACCAGGAUGGGAAAUUUCUACUGGAAGGUGUUUUUUCUAAAAAGUAAUGCUUAAGGAUGGGCCAGCGGCUGAUUAGGCAGUUGGUGAGGUAACGGCUCACCAAACUUAUGAUCAGUACGGGCCGUGAGAGCGGGAACCCGGAGAAGGGUACUGAGAAAAGGACCCUAGCCCUACGGGGUGCAGCAGGCGCGAAACCUUUACAAUGCACGAAAGUGUGAUAAGGGAAUCCUAAGUGCCUAUGUUUUAACAUAGGCUUUUUACAAGAGUAAAUUUCUUGUAGAAUAAGUGGUGGGUAAGACUGGUGCCAGCCGCCGCGGUAACACCAGCGCCACGAGUGGCAAUCACAUUUAUUGGGCCUAAAGCGUCCGUAGCCGGUUUUGUAAGUCUUCUGUGAAAUUGUCGAGCUUAACUCGACAACGUGCAAGAGAUACUGCAGAACUUGGAACCGGGAGGAGUUAGAGGUAUUCUGGGGGGAGCGGUAAAAUGCUAUAAUCCUCGGAGGACCACCUAUGGCGAAGGCAUCUAACUAGAACGGAUUCGACGGUGAGGGACGAAAGCUAGGGGAUCAAACCGGAUUAGAUACCCGAGUAGUCCUAGCUGUAAACGCUGCGAGCAAGGCGUUGCAUAUUUCAUGUGAAUGUGCAGUGUCGAAACGAAGGUGUUAAGCUCGCCGCCUGGGAAGUACGGCCGCAAGACUGAAACUUAAAGGAAUUGGCGGGGGAGCACUACAACGAGUGGAAUGUGCGGUUUAAUCUAAUUCAACGCAGAGAAUCUCACCAGAAGCGACGGCAGGAUGAAAGUCAGAUUGAAGGUCUUACUUAACAAGCCGAGAGGUAGUGCAUGGCCGCCGUCAGCUCGUGCCGUAAGGUGUCCUCUUAAGUGAGGCAACGAGCAAGACCUGUAUUUGCAAUUGCUAAUGGGCUCUUUUGAGCGACCAAGCACAUUGCAAGGACUGCCCUGGAAACAGGGAGGAAGGUGCAGGCAACGGUAGGUCUGUAUGCUCCGAAUCUUCUGGGCAACACGCGCAUUACAAUGACACGGACAAUGGGAUACAACUCCGAGAGGAGAAGUCAAACCUCGAAACCGUGCCUUAGUUCGGAUUGAGGGCUGUAACUCGCCCUCAUGAAGCUGGAAUUCGUAGUAAUCGGAGUUCAACAUGCUCCGGUGAAUACGUCCCUGCUCCUUGCACACACCGCCCGUCAAACCACUCGAGCAGGAUUUAGAUGAGGUUUAACUCUUAAUUAAAUCGAAUCUAAGUUCAGUGAGAUGGGUUAAGUCGUCACAAGGUA
rnacentral:rRNA from 1 species